rnacentral:misc_RNA from 1 species
AUGGAGACGAGACAUAUAACUAUUCAAAGUGCCUUGGAAAAGCUAUCAUCAUUUCUGGAAUCAUUUCUUCCAAUUCUUAAUACACAUAUGGUCCACUUCUACACUGAGGAGAUAUGGGGAAAAUUGAAGAGUGAGUUGCAGGCUGAAUUAAUGGCUAUGAAUGAUACUGAGAUAACAGAGCUUCCUAAUGAUUACCUGAAUAUUUCUGUGAGCAAGCCAAGUCAUAUUUCUCCAAGCUUACUGCAGCUAAUGGAAGACAUCUUUAAGCAUAAUUUGGAAUCUUUAAACGUUCUCGACGAUCUCCCGUCCGUUUGGAAGCAAAUGGAUAUCAAACCCUUAAGUUCACCGAUUCACUUUGAUAAGUUCAUGACGGUAAAAAAAUGUCACGAGGUUGGAGCGCUUUGCGACACUGUGGCUUCCUUUGCUAACUAUACUGCCAGCAAGUUGAUUGUCGAUCUCGGCUGCGGAAAAGGAGCGCUGGCAUCAAUGCUUUCGCUAAACCAUGGGUUGUACGUCUCGGGUAUUGACGCUGCCGGUUUCAACGCACAUGUUGAAGCAGGAAGGCAAUCAAUGCUUCAAAAGACUUUUCAAAGCCAUGUAAAAAAAGCACGUCUUACAGAUGAAGAAGAGGUUGAUCUCUCGGUGAGAUUUCGGCGCUCUACGCUGUACUUGUCAAACAAUUUCGACAUCCGCCCACUUAUUGAAGAAUGCAGUCAACACUUUCAACAGUCGUUUAGACACGUUGGCUUAAUAGGUCUGCAUACUUGCGGAAAUUUGGCCUCAACUUCUGUGCAACUGUUCGUGAACUCACCUGAGUCGCGCUUCUUGUGCAACGUUGGCUGCUGUUAUCAUCUAUUGGAUGAGAUAUUCGACAAGAAUAGCAACGGGCAGGAACCUGGGUUUCCUCUAAGCAGCUACCUCAAAUCCAAAAGCUUCGCUUUGGGACGAAACGCCCGAAUGGUCUCUUCGCAGCCGCUAGAACGAUACGCCACUAAUAAACAGGUGCAACCUGAGGUACUUUUCUAUCGCUCACUGUUACAAGUUAUCCUCGAAGAAAAGUUCCCCUCAACACCUCCAGUUGAAUUUCAAGUGGGAAGACUGCGUAAGCCUGUCGGUAGUUUCCGGGAGUAUCUUCAGUGGGCAACGAAAAAAUUGAAAUUAAAUUUAGUGAUGAUGAAAUCGAGGCAUAUUUGACUCGUUUUGGUGAUGAUAAACGUAGGAACUUGUAUGCCUUCUUCCAGCUUCGUCUACUGUUGGCCAGUUUAGUCGAACACAUAAUUUUGCUGGACCGAUUAGCGUUCCUUACAGAGCAGGAAGUUGUAAGCCAUUCAUUCCUGGUUCGAAUAUUUUCGCCCGUGACAUCUCCUCGUUGCUACGCCCUCAUAGCUUUCAAACACGUUUCAGAAAAUGCAUUGAAACUGUGUAAUGAACCGGAAAUUGAAGAAAUAAAAUUGUUGGGCUAGUG